rnacentral:lncRNA from 1 species
AAAUAAUCCAAUUAAAUAUGGGAAAAAACCCCACAUCUGAACAGGUGCUGCAAUAAAGAAGAUAUACAGAGGCCAAGUAAACACAUGCAAAGAUUCUUGACAUCAUAUCGUCACUGACUAGUUGCCCCAAGGAACUCAAGGAGGAGGAACUUGAACCCCAGAGACGUGGAUCGGCCCAAGGUCACACCACUGGUAGCAGAUGAGAAAGGACUCCGAAAAGCAGCAACAGGGCCAGAGGCAGCCUUGGAGGUAGCAGAGCGCACGGAGGACAGCACUGCAAAAAGGUUAAGAGCCAGCACCGAGGCCUCAGUUUACUUUCUGACUCCAUCCCUACCAGGUGACAG